AAUAAUUUUAUUUUUCGUUUUUCCGUGUCUAAUAUUUGAUCAUUCGUCUUAUUUGAAAAAUCUGUACAAAAACUAGUCACGUAUAAAGUACUAUUCAUAUUUUAUCAUCCAGUAACAAUAAAAAUAUUAAUCGCAAAAAAAUUUCAAAUAAGACGAAUGGUCAAAUGUUGGACAAGGAAAAACA
rfam:Oryza brachyantha chromosome 9, whole genome shotgun sequence.